rnacentral:rRNA from 1 species
GAUGAACGCUGGCGGCGUGCCUAAUACAUGCAAGUCGAGCGAACAGACGAGGAGCUUGCUCCUCUGACGUUAGCGGCGGACGGGUGAGUAACACGUGGAUAACCUACCUAUAAGACUGGGAUAACUUCGGGAAACCUGAGCUAAUACCGGAUAAUAUAUUGAACCGCAUGGUUCAAUAGUGAAAGACGGUUUUGCUGUCACUUAUAGAUGGAUCCGCGCCGUAUUAGCUAGUUGGUAAGGUAACGGCUUACCAAGGCAACGAUGCGUAGCCGACCUGAGAGGGUGAUCGGCCACACUGGAACUGAGACACGGUCCAGACUCCUACGGGAGGCAGCAGUAGGGAAUCUUCCGCAAUGGGCGAAAGCCUGACGGAGCAACGCCGCGUGAGUGAUGAAGGUCUUCGGAUCGUAAAACUCUGUUAUUAGGGAAGAACAAAUGUGUAAGUAACUAUGCACGUCUUGACGGUACCUAAUCAGAAAGCCACGGCUAACUACGUG